rnacentral:tRNA from 1 species
CGGGAUGUAGCUCAGCUUGGCUAGAGCGCUCGGUUCGGGACCGAGAGGCCCGCAGGUUCGAAUCCUGUCAUCCCGACCA